UCUAAAAGAAAAGGAAAAGUUUAUUUACAAAGAGAGCUUCUUUCACAUGUAAGUAAUAUGAAAAUUAAGAAUGAGUUUGAAGGAAGAAGGAAAUAAGAAAAUACUUUUGGAAUAAAAAGGUUCUACUUGUUCUUGAUGAUAUAAAUCACAUGAGUCAAUUGGAUAAUUUGGCCGUUAAUGCAGAGUGGUUUAGCGAGGGUAAUAGAGUAAUUAUAACAACUAGAGAUAAGCACUUGUUGACUUCACAUGGAGUUCAUGGAAUAUAUGAGAUGGAACCCAUGAAAGAAGAUGAAUCUCUCCAGAUCUGUUCAAAGAAAGCAUUUAAAAAAGAUCAUCCUAAGGAGGGAUAUGUGGUGUUGUCUAAAUCUGUGGUUGAAUAUGCCGGCGGUCUUCCUUUGGCGCUUCAGGUUUUAGGUUUUUUCUUCGUGGAAGAAGUGUACUUGAGUGGGAAGAUGCUUAAGACAGAUUGAGACAAAUUUCAGAUAAGGAUGUUUUUCAGAUUCUUAAAAUAAGCUAUGAUGGAUUAAAUGAUGAAGAGAAGGCAAUAUUCUUGGAUAUUGCAUGCUUUUUCAAGGGAUGGGAAAAAGAUGAAGUAUUCCAAAUUUUGAAAAAUAUUGGUCUUCAUUGAAAUAAGUAUCCUCAUUGAAAAAACUUUGCUAGUUGAAUGCCAUACUGAUUUUGGAAGAUGCCGUUUAGAGAUGCAUGAUUUAUUUCAAGAAAUGGCAGGAAUAUAAUUUAUCAAGAAUCUCCUAGCAUUGCUUACAGACGCAGUUGACCGUGGAAGAUCGAGGACAUCGAUGAAGUAUUGGAAAAUACUAUUGGAACUGAAGCAAUACAAAGCAUUGUGUUAGAUUCCUCACGACGGGAUGAUCCUGAAGUAUAUUGGAACCUCAUGCUUUUUCGAAGUUGUUUAAUCUCAGAUUACUCAUCAUUCGAAGAAGAUUGGAACUUCCCAAUGUUCUCAAAUGCCCUUCUAGUGCAUUAGGAGUUGUUCAAUGGCUAUUUGCCCUCUAGAAGCUCUUUAGUCAUUGUUUAUCACAUGCAUGCACUGCCAUGUUAUAUAUGUUAGUCCAGAUGAAUUAGGCCAGGCAAGAAGUCCAAA